rnacentral:lncRNA from 1 species
GGGCGGUAUGUGGGUGGGAAUUUUGAACAAAUUGUUUGAUAAGAAUCACAAGUUAACACAUCAAAUACUGAUGAUAAAAGGAAGUGACCUCAAUACACUUACACGUGAACUCGUACUGACCCGCAAGAUCAUUGACCAAUAAGAAAGAUGCAUUGGUCAUAAGUGAAAUUUCUCUGCACGUGAAAACAUGUUAUCUAAUUUCAACAAUGUAUCGUUUAAUUAAGUAGGACACUCUGACCCUUUGACCAGACUAGAGACAUCAUACAUUUACAGUAUUAAUAGCUCACUCUUUUAUUUAAGUCGGUUAGUAAUAACCAAUUAAAACAGAAUUAUCUU